rnacentral:rRNA from 1 species
AGUGAACGCUGGCGGUAGGCCUAACACAUGCAAGUCGAACGGCAGCACAGUAAGAGCUUGCUCUUACGGGUGGCGAGUGGCGGACGGGUGAGGAAUACAUCGGAAUCUACUUUUUCGUGGGGGAUAACGUAGGGAAACUUACGCUAAUACCGCAUACGACCUACGGGUGAAAGCAGGGGAUCUUCGGACCUUGCGCGAUUGAAUGAGCCGAUGUCGGAUUAGCUAGUUGGCGGGGUAAAGGCCCACCAAGGCGACGAUCCGUAGCUGGUCUGAGAGGAUGAUCGGCCACACUGGAACUGAGACACGGUCCAGACUCCUAAGGGAGGCAGCAGUGGGGAAUAUUGGACAAUGGGCGCAAGCCUGAUCCAGCCAUACCGCGUGGGUGAAGAAGGCCUUCGGGGUGUAAAGCCCUUUUGUUGGGAAAGAAAAGCAGCAGGUUAAUACCCCGCUGUUCUGACGGUACCCAAAGAAUAAGCACCGGCUAACUUCGUG